rnacentral:lncRNA from 1 species
UAACUGCCUGUGUGAACACUGACACAAGAUGUCCAAUGUGGCAAUCAUGGGGUGAAUGUCAAGCUAACAGAAUUUGGAUGUCAAAACAUUGUAGAAAGAGUUGUGCUAACUGUCAGGGUAAGUCGAUCUUCAGGUUUCCCUGCAUGGGCGUCAAUCCUGGGGGGGGGGAUGCGUCCCCCCAGUUUUUGGAGUGUGGGGACGAAUAUCUAAUUAUCCCCCCCCCCCCACACUUUUUAACAUGUUUAAUGAAAUUUUGUUUCUUGGUAGUCUAAAAACCUAAUCCCUGGUAUGCUAUUCAUCCAGACUUGUGGUUGGAACGAAGACAUUUAAUAAGAUGAAGUUAUUACAACGUAUGACCUUUCUGUAGCCGCUGGGAGCAAAUACUGACAUCGCAUAUGUUAUUGAAUGCUAAAUUUGUACAUGUGUUGUAAUUUUAUAAACAUUUACAUAAAGGCAUGCACUAUUUGUCAUUUUCACUUCCUGUUCUAACUGGCAAGCUGCACUGAAUGAGACAAUAAUUCGUUUUGCUUGUUUUUUGCCUAAUUGUUUUUUAUUAUUAUUACGCCCGUAAAAAGUAUUUAGAAGUUAUUUACAUUUUGUUUUUCUAUUUUGAAUAGGCUAGAGACCUUCUAGAAACCUAGCAGGCUUUUUAAUUAAGACUCCUUUAAUACAUUAUUUCAUUCUUAUAUUUAGUCAGUUCGAAUUAUUAUAUUGAACAAGGAUAAAAGUAUAUAUAACAUAAACAUGCAUAUUAACUUAAUUAUAUAUAUUCGAAGUGGAAGAUAUUAUAUAUAUAUAUAUAUAUAUUGUAUAUUUACAGUAAAGAAGGACUGAUAAUAUAUUUUAAACUUUAUACAUCAAUUAUUGAGCUAAUGAGUAAUGGACAUAAUCGUAAUUUACUAAUUUAACGACUAAAUUAAGAUUUAAGACUAGAUAGUUUUAUUUUACCAUUUUCAAAAGUUCAAAUAGAGUGAAAUAUUAAGGCUAAACAUUCCAUUUUUGUAGUUUCUCGCCUGACUCCAAUUAAAAGUUGUAGACAUAGCAUUGCAAUCUAACCAAAUGAAUAACUAACAACUAAUAUUUUUAACAACUUUGAUGUGCUUUAUCACACUUGCACAACCUUGUUUUUUGCGGAUUUCUCACAUGGUUAAAAAUGGAUUUAAGAUCAUGCACUUUGUACUAUAACUUUACAAGUUUCUCCAAAACGCUGGAAAUACCAUUUCAGGGUACCAAAAUUUUAAAAACAUUUCGGGUAUUCCGCCCCCCCCCCCCCACGUUUUGGGAUGGAUUGACGCCCUUGAUUCCCUGUUUCACAACUAACCUCCAAUUGGCUCCAAAAUUAUUUUUGCUGUGGGUAAUAUUUCCAUUAUUCUCUAAAGAAAUGUAAUACUUUAGUGGAGAGAUAAUUAAUGACAAGUAAAUCGGGCACAGUUUAUGUGUGACCUUAAAAUUUAUAUAAAGGACAUUAAUUGAAAAUAAAAUUUAUUUGAUCUAGUUAGGAAAGUCUCUUAAAAAAUACUCUUUAAAUAACAACUGUCUUCGUUUUCAAAAUGUUUCAGUUUGUUUAUUAUGUAAAUGAGCUGAAUCUAUUGCGUCAUAGGCAGGGUACAAAUUUUGGAAUACAGAAAAAAUACCUUCUCAAUCUCAGUUUGUCCGGUUGUCCCAAUUUUUGUUUACAUUUUUGAGAGAUGGUUUCUUUUCAAUUUAAUGAUAUUCGCGUAGGAAAAAAGCAUUCUCAUUAGAAUGACAAUAAAAUCGAAAUAGUGUGCAUCUCUUUACCAUGGUUCCAGAGGCUCUUUGCGAGGCGAAAUAAACGAGAGGCGAGAAGGAAGAGUCUCUGGUCACAUCGGUUGCAAAUCCCAUUUCCACACUUGAUUAGGUUUAGUAUUUGAAUCUCGCAUGUGUUUGGCCAUUUGUAAAAAUAUGUCAAACCGGUUUGGGAAAUAAGCAUUACAGCUGUAAGCUAAUUAGGGGCGGACCAUUUGACUUUUGAGGGGGGGGGUGGACGAUUUCGAAAAAAAAAUUCCUGCAACCCCAAGGAGAAAGAAAAAGAAUCAUGCAGCAUAGAUUCGAGAAAAAAGUAUAUCAUGCAAAAGAGAGCGCUCAAAAACCAAAAUUCCUACAUGUAACUCUACUGACCAACUGAUGCUCUUCACUUCAGUAUUGUGUCCACAGGCUUGCGAGAUUUUGCAUUUUUGAGCAGGCACAUUUGCUUAAAAGAACACGGGGUGAACAGUGGACAACAUCACAGGGAUUCUACCGCCUUUGGAGCAUCUAGGCUCUAACAUACGAUAGCCAGUGGCGUUCCCUGGCAUUGUUGCCCCCCCCCCCCCUGAGAAAAUCUGGGCUUAAGAUAUGUACAAGUUUAUAAGUUAUUUAUACAUAUCUAAUAUGCAUGGUAGAAAGUUUUUUUGGAUGGUCGAGUCUGUGUGCGUUUUUUUGAUAACAUAGCUCCACUAUUAAAGCUUCAAAGGCCCAUCUACAGGAUGCAAGUUGGACGUACUGUAUACACUACACGAUGAUUUUAAUCCGAAAAUGCCAGUUUAGAGAGUCUAGAUUUUAAAAAAAUUCUGAAGAGGAUGCAACCCGAUCCCCAAGUCAAGCUAUCUGUAUGAACGACUGGAAAGCUACAGAGCUAUAUUUGGUGGAACAUUGUUGUUUCGGAGGGCAGUUAAAAAUCGCAUUAUUGAAAUCUUGUUUUAUUACAUAUUAAUCAAAGCUCAUUUUGUGAUUUUCCCUUGUUUAAAGUAAGGGACAGUAAGUGUUCCUUAGGCUUAGUACAGCAAAGUUGUUGUGGACGAAUCCAUGGCUGAAAAUGCAGGGAAUAGCAUUUCCGAGGUUCAAAUUUUAAAAUUUUCUCGGGGGAGCAUUCCCCGAACCCCCAAGGUUACAGGUCAUUCAUAUACUGUACCCUCCCCCCAUUUUCGAGUACUCCACUCUAUCCCUGCAUGUUUUAGGUUUUGGUGCAGUUAUACAUUUUUUGUAAGUAAACUUGCACGCUUCAACGCGGGGAACAUUAAGACAUAACCAUAUAAAAUAAAGCACAGUGAAAAUUCCUUGGGCCCUCUUGGGAUUCAGUUCUCGGCCUCCUCUGGCUGAAAACCCUGGCUACGUCUCCGAUGAUAGCUAUAUGAAAGUCUUAAGUUACUGUAAGCCGUUAUUUUGAGAAGCAAAAAAAAAUAUCCUGCCGCGAAAUAUAUUGGGGAAAAAAUAUCUUGCGCUGCACUUUUAUAGGAAAAAGAAUAUCUGUCUCGUUUGCCUGGGCGAUAAAAAAAAUUCUUGCACAGUCUGAAUCUUCCAACCCCCCCCCCCAAAAAAAAAAGUCAAAUGGUCCGCCCCUUGUAGCUAUAAAUAUAGCUAUAAUUAGCUUACAGUAAUGUUUAUUUCCCAAUUUCCCAAACCGUUUUGACAUAUUUUUACAAAUGGCCAAUCACAUGCGAGAUUCAAAUAAUGAACCUAAUCAAGUGUGGAAGUGGGACUUGCAACCGAAUGUGACCAGAGGCUCCUCCUUCUCGCCUCUCGUUUCUUCGCCUCGCAAAGAGCCUCUGGAACCAGGAUAACAUAUCUUUAAACUGUCAAAAGCUGAAACGUUCCACGUGGUUUAGCAUGUUAAUUAAAGCAGCAAAGAUUUUCGCACGUAUAGGCUACAGUAUUAUUUUUGUGAGAAUUUGAAACAUCAGAAAGUUUAGAAAAAUCACAAAGUACAAUUAUUUUUGGCUGUGAUAUUUAAACAUCAAAUAAAAUGAAAUAUCUUGAAGAAACGAGUAAAGGCAAAUGUUAAAAAGUGUACAAGAACUAGUAUAUAAUAUUACAGAUUUAAGAUUUCUUUCUAACUAUAGAUCAAGUGUGACUGUGUGUAAAAUUAUGUUGCAAAUGUCCUUUGAUAUACUGUAUUGCCUAUAGGUAAUACAUUUUUUUUGAAAAUUGGAAAGAUUUCCCUACCAAAAUUUAUACCCUCGUAUUAACAUUGAACGCGCGUUUUAUACAUUUUCGUCCCCUCCUCAAAUGUAAGAUUUCGCUAAUUUCUUUUCACCUCAAGGGAUUACAAAAUUAAUGACACAAUAUAAUCUAUUUCAAAAUGUUCAUAACCAUUGUUUGGUUGGUUGGAGUAUAUUUAGCCAUACGCUACUGUAAGUUAGUCACAGACAUUUCUCAAGGCAACUUGAGGGUGACUAUUUUGAGGGAGUAAAAGAUUGACGUAGGGUUCGAAUACCUUGAUCUUUAGAUUCAGAUGUGAAGCUUUUCUUCCAAGAAUUCAACCUUCUCUUAAUCACUCGAAAUUUGGGUUUGGACACUCAGGCAGGAAUGGAGUUUCUUUGUCUCACUGGGAUAUUACUAUCUAUGUUGUUGUUGGUAUCAGGAAGGAUGAGAAACUGUUGGAACUUUGGUUUAUUGUUUUUACUAUAUUAUUCUCAACACAAGGUACAUGUAUUUCUACAUUGUGGUCUGCGGAGCUGCAACUUACAUAAAUUAUUACCUCCGCCAGGUUAUGUUUUCGGGCAUUUGAAAUUAAAGGCA